GCAGAUGGUACUCUCUGCAACUCAUUCUGACGACAUAACAGGAGUUUCCUAUUUGUCUGCUGACCACCAUGAAAUUUAUCCAUAUUAUUUUAAAAGACAAAAAUAUAAUCAUGUAUUCCUUGAAUAAUUAAAUGCACUUCUUUUUAAAAAGACAGUGUUCCGAGGAACAGAGCCUUCUAUAGUCUGAAUAUGUCCUCCAAAUUUGCAUGUUGGAAACUUAAUCCCCAAUGCAGCAGUGUUGGGAAGAUUAAUGCUGCUAUCAAAAGAGCUUGAGCUAGCCUGGCCAACAUAGCAAAACCCUGUCCCUCAAAAUAAAUAAAUAAAUAAAUA
rnacentral:lncRNA from 1 species